UACAUAAAAUGUACAAGUUUACAAAUUUAAGAAAUAGUAAUGGAAAAAUAGUGUUUAAAAUAUGAUUUUAUGUUUUUAAUGAGAUUAAAGAGAGAGAAACUUGAGUAGUCAAGUAUUGGACCCAAAUGUCAUAUAAUUUUAAUUGGGGAUUUUUAUAAAAUUAAGAAAGUUUUGCUAAAGGACUUAUUUGAAAAGAAUUUUAGUAUUUUGGGUCCAAGUGUAAUUUUUUAAAAAAAAUAAAAUAAAAAUAAAAAUAAAAAUAAAAAUAAAAAUAAAAAAAAAAAGAAAAGAAAAGGCUUCAGCCUUUCUUUUUACCCUAGCCCCUCUCUCUCUCUCUCUCUCCUCAGAAACUCUCUCUCUCUCCUCAGAAAACCUCUCUCUCUCUCUCUCUCUCUCUCUCCUCUACGUAUUACUGUUGCCGACGACGCAGGAGUACUUUCCGGCCACCAUUUUUAGCCACGCGCCGGACCGUUGGAUUCAGAGGCCUCCGAACUAUCGACCCACGCGGGAAUCUAGAGCUCACUCGCCGAUUAAACGCCUCAACCACUCGAUUUAAGUUCGGCCACCCCGCGACUUCAAAGUUGCGAUUCGGCCACCUCGGGCAUCCGUUUGCCGAUCCGUCACCACCAUCGUGCUCCUCGUGUUGUGGGCUUCAAAACCCAAUAACUUGUUCCUACAUCUACCAUAGUUGGGUGGUGGGCCCACCACGAGCCACCGCGAUCCACCGUAGACCGACGGUCGAAACUUAGUGUUCGAGGUUCCGAAGUACGUUUUGAGUCUCAGAAAAUCAUCGUUUGACUUAUUGUGGAACCCGAUCAUUUUGGAUUUGUAUGGAUUUGAUUGAUUGACUCUUGCUGAGCAAUAUUAAAAUAAGCUAAGGACCUAAGGUGUGGCUUUAGCUGUUGAGCAACUUGUGGAGCACGGACUCAGUAGCAAUGCAAUAAUGGUUUAGAGUUUUCAUAUGGCUGCCUUAAAUUUAAAGUAUUCAUACGUGUAAUAAUUUCUUCUAAUAAGUUUAUAUAAAAGUUUUAAAUUUUUCUGUAUUUCUUCGUAUCAUUUUAUUUAAUUCUUUUGGUCAAGUGCCUUACAUACUCGUAAACCCUAGAAUUACGAGUAUGUGGCAGACGUACCCUACCUUAGGGACGUUUCAAAUGGUAUCAGAGCUUUGAGUUUGUAGAUGUCGUAUACUCGUUAUGUUAUUAAAUUUUGGGAUCCGAAAUGCUACUGAGUUCCGCCACAAGACAAGCCACACAUUAAUGGUCAGUAUAAUCUAUUCAUAUUUUAGUUAAUUCAUGUUAAUGAUGUUGUAUAAUUGCAUUAGAAACUCAUUGUGUGUUUGAGUCUCCAUGAGAUAAGUAUGAGUUUGGAUUAAAUGAUUAUUCUCAUGCAUGCUAGAGAAACUGAAGUUUGUUAUUUAUCUGAAUGCAUGCCUUGAUUAUUGAUGUGAUAAAUAAUUGAUGAUCUAUCGAUGUCGAUGUUUGGAUUGUUAUUUGAUAUUCUCAAGCUUUGAAAGUGACCUAUCAGUUCAGUUAGUGUGUUAAGGGUUAAUAUGUCAGGUUAGUGUUUUGGAGAGCAGAAUUUUAGGUUGUCACUGAGAGCACACACAAUAAGAGACUUUAGUGAAACAGUAGUAAUAUAUAGAAAAAAAAAAAUACAUAAUACAUUAAGGAUUGGGGUUUUGGACACGUUCUACCUCGUCGAUCAACUUUUGUUGUUCAACUCUAAGGGUCUCCCCAGUAGUUUGCAGUGUCCGAAAUUUUUCCUUCAUAUCGACUGAGUAAUUAGCAAGAAGUGUAGUUAAAGUCUCAUUCUCCUUAACCAACUUCUCCUUCUCUCGAGUCAAUGCCUUGUUGGCAUUUCUAAUGGCUAUCAUCUCUUGUUUUUGUGUUUCUAUAUACCUUUUCAAGUGGUCAACCUCUUGUUCUCUUGCAAGAACCCGUUGGCCUAGGUUUGAGACCGAUGCUGCCGCCUGAGUGGUAAGAACUAAGGAAUCUUUUACAGCUUGUAGGUCCGACCUAUGGGAUAAAAUUGUUUGGUCUUUAGGGGUGAGUAUGCUUUGACCUAUACUAAUGGCCACCUUUUUAUCGAGCAUAGCUGAAUCCUCCACCGUGACAAGGCCAGUAUCAGAAUAAAAUUUGGGAAGCCAAACUCUGGGAAAUUGAGUAUUUCGUUCUGGGAUGUGUACCGUAGGAUACACCAUUAGCUGUGGUAGGGGUGCAGAAAUUUUUGGUGAAGGUUCGAUAGUGGGUAGAUUUGGCUCAGGUAAAGCUAAAGUUAGAUCUAAGUUCAGCUGAGAUGAUGAGGAUGCCAUGGGUUGCUUAGCUUGAGUAAUGGACGGAAGUAAUAAUGAUUUGGUUUUCAAAAGCUUGAGAUUGAUUGUGUUUUAGUGGGUAUGUGAUGAAUUUUAUUUAUAGAAA